AAAGAAUUAGUUAAAGUAUAACUCGAGCUUGUCGAGUUCGUGUUGCCUGUGUGGCAUUCUUUU
rnacentral:tRNA from 1 species